rnacentral:pre_miRNA from 1 species
GACGUAGCACUUCAAUAAUAUUUCAUUUAUUUGUCGACGUUUCGGUCAUGCUCUAACCGAAACGUCGACGAAUAGAUGAAAUAUUAUUGAAGUGCUACGUC